rnacentral:rRNA from 1 species
AUUGAACGCUGGCGGCAUGCUUUACACAUGCAAGUCGAACGGCAGCGCGGGCUUCGGCCUGGCGGCGAGUGGCGAACGGGUGAGUAAUGCAUCGGAACGUGCCCAGUAGUGGGGGAUAGCCCGGCGAAAGCCGGAUUAAUACCGCAUACGACCUGAGGGUGAAAGCGGGGGACCGAAAGGCCUCGCGCUAUUGGAGCGGCCGAUGUCGGAUUAGCUAGUUGGUGGGGUAAAGGCUUACCAAGGCGACGAUCCGUAGCUGGUCUGAGAGGACGACCAGCCACACUGGGACCGAGACACGGCCCAGACUCCUACGGGAGGCAGCAGUGGGGAAUUUUGGACAAUGGGGGCAACCCUGAUCCAGCCAUGCCGCGUGCGGGAAGAAGGCCUUCGGGUUGUAAACCGCUUUUGUUCGGGAAGAAAUCCUCUGGGCUAAUACCCCGGGGGGAUGACGGUACCGGAAGAAUAAGCACCGGCUAACUACGUG